GCCAGGCAUGGUGGCGCGUGCCUGUAAUCCCAGCUACUCAGGAGGCUGAGGCAGAAGAAUCGCUUGAACCCGGGAGGCUGAGGUUGCAGUGAGCCAAGAUCUUGCCACUGCACUACAGCCUGUGUUACAGAGUGAGACUCUGUCUGAA
rnacentral:SRP_RNA from 1 species